AUUGCAGUCGCAUACGGUUGUUUCCAUUUGAACAAACUGUUUUUUUUUUAGCGGAGUGCGCUGCUGUGAAAUUUUGAAAGCUCUUUUUGGGACCUUUAAUUUUAUGUAACGGCUGUGCGGCACAUCCAAUAUCCAAGCGAAAGGAGGUCCACACACUCCCCUGGCGCCGCCUGAGCGUGGUCGUCCUGCUCCGCGCUUCUAGCACCAUCACCUCCACCACCACCCCCCCAACCCGUGAAACAUAACGCGAAAAUCGAUUUCGGCUGCGGGCGCAGGAAGAAACAGCAGAAAGUAUGUCCCACGGCGAUGUGGACCCCGAGGUAGAGAUGACAUCGCCCCACCGUAUUAAUGGGGACGCAGGAAGUCGUCCAAGGUGGCAGACAUUCUGGAAGCUACAGUGCUGGCGGAGCAGCAUGCUGCUCGUAGUCGGAGUUGCUUUGUGUGUCCUCGUGCCUGGAUGCAGCGCAACGGACACGGACAUCGCGCUGGACGCCAAGGCCACGCUCAAUCACCGCAUCCAGAGCCUGGACCUUCUAGUCUUCGUGUUCCUGCUGGCGCUUACAGUGCUCACCAUUUGGCUGUUCAAACACCAUCGCGUCUCCUGGCUCCACGAGACCGGAUUGGCCGUCAUCUACGGGUUGAUUGUGGGUGCAAUUAUACGAUAUGCCGGCACCUCAGCCACACUGGUCCACAUACCGGUGGAGCCUCAGGGAGUUCCAACGUACAGCGAUAAGUUGCCUCCUGAUACUCUUUGGUUUAGGUACCCCGUUAACCAAACAAAUGGCACAAAGGCGCCCGACGUAAUAACGUAUGCCUACGUGUUUCGCGGACAAGUACACGAUGUGGAUGAGAACGAAAUCGAUCUUAAGGCAACGUUCGAUCCGGAGGUCUUUUUCAAUAUUAUCCUGCCCCCAAUUAUUUUUUAUGCGGGCUAUAGCUUAAAAAAGAAAUACUUCUUUCGCAACCUGGGUGCCAUACUUACGUUUGCCAUUGUGGGCACGACAUUGUCGGCCUUCCUGAUCGGAGGCUUCAUGUACGGCUGUGUGAAACUGAUGCCAAAGUACUUGAGUAGCAGUUUCACAUUCCUGGACUCCUUAUACUUUGGAGCUCUGAUAUCGCCCACAGAUCCGCUCACCAUUCUAGCCAUAUUCAACGACCUUCGGGUCGACGUAAACCUAUAUGCGCUAGUCUUGGGCGAAUCUGUGCUCAACGAUGCCGUGGCCAUAGUCCUUAGUGGAGCCAUUCAAAAUUAUGGUGAACACUAUUCCAGUACAGGGGACUUCGAAACAACAGCUUUUCUACGCUCGUUGAGCGACUUCUUCUCCAUCUUCUUUCUAUCCCUGAUGAUUGGCGCGGCCAUGGGAUGCUUGACAGCAUUGAUGACCAAAUUUACUCGGGUUCGAGACUUUCCUUUGCUAGAAUCCGCGCUCUUCGUGCUCAUGAGCUACAGCACCUUCCUGCUGGCUGAGGCUACGGAACUUACUGGUGUGGUGGCCGUGCUCUUCUGCGGCAUCUGCCAGGCUCACUACACCUACAACAACUUGUCGGAGGACUCGCGCCAAAGGACAAAACAGAUCUUCGAGCUCCUAAACUUUCUGGCCGAGAACUUUAUCUUUUCCUACAUUGGCGUAUCGAUGUUCACCUUUCCCAAGCAUCAUUUUGACGCCGGUUUCAUUAUAACAGCUUUUAUUUGCGCUGCCAUUGGAAGGGCCGUAAAUGUGUAUCCCUUGUCCUGGCUGCUGAACAUAAAACGAAAGCCAAAAAUUUCAACAAACUUUCAGCAUAUGUUGUUCUUUGCUGGACUUCGUGGCGCCAUGUCCUUUGCCUUGGCCAUCCGAAAUACAGUGUCGGACGAACGACAGACGAUGCUGACUGCCACAUCGCUGAUUGUCAUCUUUACGGUUGUAAUUCAGGGUGGGGCUGCAAAUUUCCUGCUUAAUUGGUUGAAAAUACCCGUUGGCGUGGAUGAUGAGACUGAACAACUCAAUAACUAUCAAGUGCACAGUUCUGAUGGUUAUUUGCAGGAUGUGGAGGGCGGUGGGGUUAAUCGCGGCAAGAUGCGCUUGUCCGGUGGAACAGAUACUAACUUGGACACGCCCGUCGAUGGUCCGAAUGGCAGUUUGGGCGUAGCAAGCGGCGGCCGGCGGCGCAACAGUCACGAGAAGGCCAUUCUCGCUAGGAUCUGGGGAAACUUUGAUACCAAGUACAUGAAGCCUUUGCUGACGCACUCGCGACCCACUUUGCUGGAGACGCUGCCCGUUUGCUGCAAUCCCAUUGCCAGGUUGCUCACCACCACGCAGCAACUAACGCAGGAUGGAAGCGAGUUCAGGCGCGUGGACUCGGACUCGGACAUUUGCAUAGACAAUGAUACCGGGAACGGUCUCAGUCAGGAUGGAACCGGAGCGGCACCAGGUGUGGGGCGGCGGAACUCCCUGAGUCGCACGGAGACCCAGACAUGAUUAACGUAGCCACGAGUCAGUGAAUUGAAAUCCGAUUAACCAAUGCUUCUUAGAGCACAGCAGUCAGGAAUGUUCGUUUAUAUUGUUCACUUUUAAUUUCUGUAUUUUUCCUCAUAAUCUAAUUUCUUAGAUUCUAACACGCGACUAACCAUGUUGGAGGCGAUCAUCGAAAUGCUUACAUAUAAGUUCAAUUAGUUGUUAGUUUUCUUUUGUUAUUUAUUGAAUUGGUCUCAUCUGAAAUCGAAAAUGUGAAAACUGUACAAAUUAGAAUAUUACUUUUCAGUUUCUCCUUGUUUAUGGAAAUGUGAUUCGGAACUCUAGUAACAAACACAAAUCUAAAAGUUGUUGUGCAACUAUUUAAGAUCAGUAAGGGCACAGAAGCUAUAAAAAUGCUUUCUAUCAUCGAGCUGACGUACACCAAUACCAUACCUUAUAACACGAUAAAUUACAUGCAUACGAGUAUAUAGCCUCUUUGAUUCUAUUAUUUUUAGAACUUGCCUCUGCAAUUUACCUAGUUUUUCCUAUAUACAUAAAUAUAUUUAUACCCAAGCCAAAUUUAAUGGCAUAGCAAAAGUUUAAACGCAUACUUAUGGACAUAUUUCCUUUCUCUUAUCUAUUCGACAUCGAAAAAUGUGCUAACAUGUAAAUUGUAAUCGCCCGAAACCACAAACCAUAUUAUAUUCAGAUGGAGAUUCUGGAGCAUGUCCAAAGUCCGGUUUCGACGAGAAUCCGGCUCUUAGGAUUUUACGGAAAAAAGUUAUAAGGCGCAGGCACAGGCAAACAUAAACUAUUUCAUUUUUGAUGUAUUUUACACAACAUAAACUUAUAGCUUUUUCGUUCUAAGCAAGUUAGUGUAAAUAUAUCGUUUCGAAAACGGA
rnacentral:misc_RNA from 1 species